GAGCUUCCCAUACGGGUUGAAGCAUGACCGUAAGGACAUGUGGACAGUAUGGGAGUGAGAAUGUUGGCAUGAGUAGCGAGAUGUGGGUGAGAAUCCCACAGGCCGUAAACCCAAGGUUUCCAGGGGAAGGUUCGUCCGCCCUGGGUUAGUCGGGACCUAAGCUGAGGCCGAAAGGCGUAGGUGAUGGACAACAGGUUGAUAUUCCUGUACUACCGAUAACCGUUUGAGAGAAGGGAUGACACAGUAGGAUAAGCUAAGCACACUGUUGGUUAUGUGUGCCCAAGCAUUGAGGCAGUCAAAGCAGGCAAAUCCGCUUUGAUAAUGCUGGGAUGUGAUGGGGAGCGAAAUUUAGUAGCGAAGUAGCUGAUUUCACACUGUCAAGAAAAGUCUCUAUCGAGGUUAAAGGUACCCGUACCGCAAACCGACACAGGUGGGUGAGGAGAGUAUCCUAAGGCCAGCGAGAGAACUGUUGUUAAGGAACUCGGCAAAAUGACCCCGUAACUUAGGGAUAAGGGGUGCCACCAUCCGGUGGCCGCAGAGAAUAGGCCCAAGCGACUGUUUACCAAAAACAUAGGUUUCUGCUAAGUCGCAAGACGAUGUAUAGGAGCUGACGCCUGCCCGGUGCUGGAAGGUUAAGGGGAUCUGUUAGAGCAAUCGAAGCAGUGAACUUAAGCCCCAGUAAACGGCGGCCGUAACUAUAACGGUCCUAAGGUAGCGAAAUUCCUUGUCGGGUAAGUUCCGACCCGCACGAAAGGCGUAACGAUUUGGGCACUGUCUCAACAACAGACUCGGUGAAAUUGUAAUUCCGGUGAAGAUGCCGGAUACCUGCGACAGGACGGAAAGACCCCAUGGAGCUUUACUGUAGCUUGACAUUGGGUCUUGGUACUACAUGUACAGGAUAGGUGGGAGGCUUUGAAACCAGGACGCCAGUUUUGGCGGAGCCAUCCUUGGGAUACCACCCUUGUAGUACUGGGACUCUAACCAUAGGCCAUGAAUCUGGUCUUGGGACACUGUCAGGUGGGCAGUUUGACUGGGGCGGUCGCCUCCCAAAAGGUAACGGAGGCGCUCAAAGGUUCUCUCAGUACGGUCGGAAAUCGUACGUAGAGUGUAAAG
rnacentral:rRNA from 1 species